rnacentral:lncRNA from 1 species
GUAGCAUGGUAUACAAAAGCUUGAUGUUUGGUUGGAAGUGGUAAUAGUAAAAGUGCUAGGAAAUUGUUUAUGGCAAUGGGCUGGGUGACCCAGUCCAGCACAGCUCUACAAACAAGGGCCUGGGCUACAAAAUAUGGCCUGAGGGCCGGGCAAGCAUUGCCAGAGGGUUGGGCCGGACCUUGGGCUAUAGUCGGCUCGGCCCUCUUUUUUUUUGUCUUUUCUUUUGUUUUAUUUUCAAUUUUUUUUUUGACCCG